ensembl:snoRNA SNORA36A small nucleolar RNA, H/ACA box 36A
GACCAAAGUGUUGAGUUCAGCUCUGGGCUCCCUCCCCAGUGCUGGUAAUUAUUCUUUGGUACAGAAUAUGGCUAAGUGAACUCUGAAUCUGAAGUAGCUUGAAUUAACUGCUUCACCAUAUCUUGGCCAACAGUC